rnacentral:rRNA from 1 species
AACGAACGCUGGCGGCAGGCCUAACACAUGCAAGUCGAGCGGGGACUUCGGUCCUAGCGGCGGACGGGUGAGUAACGCGUGGGAACGUGCCCUUUGCUUCGGAAUAGCCCCUGGAAACGGGGGAGUAAUACCGGAUGUGCUCGAGAGAGGAAAGAUUUUUCGGCAAAGGAUCGGCCCGCGUUGGAUUAGGUAGUUGGUGGGGUAAUGGCCUACCAAGCCGACGAUCCAUAGCUGGUUUGAGAGGAUGAUCAGCCACACUGGGACUGAGACACGGCCCAGACUCCUACGGGAGGCAGCAGUGGGGAAUCUUAGACAAUGGGCGCAAGCCUGAUCUAGCCAUGCCGCGUGAGCGAUGAAGGCCUUAGGGUUGUAAAGCUCUUUUACCCGGGAUGAUAAUGACAGUACCGGGAGAAUAAGCCCCGGCUAACUCCGUGCCAGCAGCCGCGGUAU